UACAGAGGUGGCAAGCGUUGUUCGGAAUUACUGGGCGUAAAGGGCGCGUAGGCGGUCCGAUAAGUCCCGUGUGAAAUCCCUCGGCUCAACUGAGGAAUGGCACGGGAAACUGACGGGCUUGAGUUCGGGAGAGGGAAGCGGAAUUCCGGGUGUAGCGGUGAAAUGCGUAGAUAUCUGGAGGAACACCGGUGGCGAAGGCGGCAUCCUGGACCAACACUGACGCUGAGGAGCGAAAGCCAGGGGAGCAAACGGG
rnacentral:rRNA from 1 species